rnacentral:rRNA from 1 species
CCUACGGGUGGCAGCAGUGAGGAAUAUUGGUCAAUGGGUGGAAGCCUGAACCAGCCAAGUAGCGUGCAGGAUGACGGCCCUACGGGUUGUAAACUGCUUUUAUACGGGAAUAACGCGCCUUACGUGUAGGGCUUUGCAUGUACCGUAUGAAUAAGGACCGGCUAAUUCCGUGCCAGCAGCCGCGGUAAUACGGAAGGUCCGGGCGUUAUCCGGGUUUUUUGGGGUUAAAGGGAGCGUAGGCCGGAUGUCAAGCGUGCUGUGAAAUGUCCGGGCUCAACCCGGGCCUUGCAGCGCGAACUGGCGUGCGUGAGUCCGCGGAAAGCAGGCGGAAUUCGUCGUGUAGCGGUGAAAUGCUUAGAUAUGACGAAGAACCCCGAUUGCGAAGGCAGCUUGCUGCAGCGGAACUGACGCUGAUGCUCGAAAGCGCGGGUAUCGAACAGGAUUAGAUACCCUGGUAGUC